AUGUUCAUAAACUUUAGCAUCAAACCGAGCCAAGGACGAGCAAUAAUAAUCAAGUUAUUCUAACUCACAUAUAUUUGCAUGAUGUACAAGUAAGAACAAACAUGUACGUUAUUAUAACGUGAAACUAACGCGAAACUUUCUGCCUCAUUAAUUGUAAGACCUUCAUCAGUCGCUAAAAAAGUCUUAAUACUGACAAAACAGAUCAUCUGUCGACAAGUUUGUUCCUCCUUCUUUAUAACGAGUAUCAAUUAUAUAAAGAAGGAUUCACAGAAUUAAUUAUUGGUCAGAUAAGAUUCAUCCGACGGCUAGUCAGAUGUAAUGCGCAAAGAUUUUUUAAUAUCAAUACAAAUAAUGGAAACACGUACGCAAGAAAUGACAACAGAAAACAAUAAUUGUAAAAUUUUAUUGGAUAGAUUCUGUAUUUUUACAAUACUUUCAACGUGAGAUUAUUAACUAUUAGAUCCUAUAAUUUUGUAUAAUUUUGACCACGUAUGACAGUUGGAACAUGUAACCAUUUUUGUUAGCGUUAAGAUUUUUUAUAGCGGCUGAUGCAGGUCUUAGUGAGAUUAUGUUUUAAAUAUGUUCAUUUAUGUUUAAAUAUAUACAUAAACUUUAGCAUCAAACCGAACCAACGACAAGCAAUAAUAAUCAAAUAAUUCUAACUCACAAAUAUUUGUAUUAUGUACAUGUAGGACAAACAUGUACAUUAUUAUACGCAAAACUAGUUUCGCCGUAUUUGAAGCUCAUUGCCUAUGCUAAUUAAUUUUAAAUUAUACUAACAAGUUUUCUUAUGCAAGAUCAUAUUUCUGCAGAUCAGCUUCGUCUUGAUCGUGCUUCACCUAUUUCAGUGUAUUUUUACCAAUCCCAGACACAAGUCUCUUCAAAGCAUCGCGUUUAUUUCUUUGCACUCACUAUUAUCACGAUGGCAACUGGUUUUGGCAACAGCACCGUGCAGCACGCUCAACAAGAGUUGACCAGCGAAGAUAAGAAAUUUGCAGCGGUAAAUUUGAACGAGACCGACGAGACUAGAGGAAAUGCUGCGAGGAAAUUAAACACUGGAUCGAAGAAAGCAACGAUUUGCCCGUACGAAUUGAUGAUUUUCUUCUUCUACGAUUUUUGAGAGUUUGCAAAUUUGAUGUUGAGAAAAUUAAGGACAGGAUUCGAAACUAUUACCAGCAGCGAUCCGAUUUACCGGAAUGGUACACAAACAAGGAUCCGUUUCGAUCGGAAUUGCAAGAGCUGCUUGAUCUGAGAAUAUGUGUAUCCCUGCGAAAGCCAGACAGUCAAGGAAGACUUGUUUUACUGAUGCGCAUAACUCGGCAUGACCCGAAUAUACACGAAAUACCAAAUGUAAUUAAGAUCUGUAUACUCGCGUUAGAAACGGCGAUGAAAUAUUAUCCCGCAGGAUCUAUAUAUGGUGUGGCAUUCUAUAUAGAUGUAUCCAAUCCAACUGCGCGCCACAUUUUUCAACUCUCUCCCUUUGUAUUAAAAAAUAUAGCCCAUACAUGGCAAAAGUGCUAUCCUGUGAGAUAUCAGAAGAAUUGUUUUUUUUAACACACCAACAGUCUUUAAUAUUCUUAUUAGCACUUUAAGAUUCUUUCUGACAGAAAAGUUAAAAAGCAGAUUUUAUGUCUAUUCACACCAGAACUGUUUCGAAGAUAUUCCAGCUGAUAACUUGCCUAUCGAAUAUGGCGGUACCGGUGGAACAUUGCAGGAGUUAACAGAACAUUGGAAAAAAUUGAUCGAAGAGAAUCGCGACUGGGUUAUGCAGGAUGAGAAUGGCCAAAGUAUCCAGACAGUUGAACCUAUAGAAGAAGAUUUUCAGCAGACACAUUUAUAACUUGUUGAUGGUUAAAGGCAGUAAAGUAAUAAAGCUCAUUUCUAGCCCCAAAUUAACUUUUAUCUUAGUUUAAUUUAUUUUUCCGUUUUCAAAUUCUUAGAACUAAAGAAAGAUAAAGAGUAACUCAAACUGAGAUUAAAGUUAAUCUGCGUUGGUAGAAAUAGGCACAAGAGCAUAUUAACCUUGGUUAUUUUACGCAAAUUAUAAAAUAUAUUGAUUCUUUUUUUCUUUUUGCACAGAAAUCACGUAAAAUUAUAUUGCAUAAAAAGAUGUACAAAGUUAAGGUUUUAAUAAAAAUUUCAUAUAUGUCUAACUGUGUGAAUAAGUUAAAUUCAUUUUAACUGUCUUGCAAUUUGUUAACUCAUUUUACAUGAUGAAUUUUAUCGUUUGAACUAUAAACAAAAUAUAUACACAUAUUUUAUACAUUUAUUUUCCAUGCGUAAUUUACAUAUACUAGUCAAUAUAACUAUAACUGUUUAAUAAGCUUUUGUUAUACUAUUACUAUUUAAAAAGUCCAAAAUGUACAUAAUUAUAAUAUAUAGUAAAGAAUUUAAAUAAAUCAGAUUUCUUCACGCCUCAUCCUUAAGAGAAUAAAAAACGAAUAUUUCUCUUUAA